CUUGGGCAGAACCGAUUCUAAAGGAUCAAGCGUGUGACUUGUAGGAGCCCAUAUUACUCACUCGGACUGGGUGAUUCUUGAACAGGCCGAUUGUGAAAGGACAUGUGUUCAUCAACCUUCCCAUCUGAUUUCGGAUCAACCACCCUCUGUGGACCUUGAGGAAAAAAGAGAGUUGAUAAAAACUCAGAGGCGAACUGCUUAUAGAAAGAAACAAGAGGAGGCUACCGUCAAGCAACAAGAUGAAAAUUUGUCUGCCCUUACGAUAUCAGAUAUGCUGAAUGUGGGUGGGUUACCUCUCGGUGAUAUCACUAAUGUGUGUCAACAAACCACGGUGGACCUUGACGAGAAAAAAGAGCAAAAAAAGGCUCGGAGGAGAGCUGCUUAUCGAAAGAAAAAAGAGGAGGAAUCCAGCAAGCAACAAGAUGAAAAUCUGACUGGCCUUACGAUAUCAGGUAAGGAUGAUUAUGUUUAUGAUGACCGUAUGUAUACUUUCUUAGUGAAUAAUGUAGGCGACACAUGUUUCCUCACCCCAACCCCACGAAUAAUUGACCAAG